rnacentral:tRNA from 1 species
CAGGUUAAAUCUUUAUAGUUAGGAAUUUCAUUUACACUGAAAAUUUUUAUCGUGCAAUUCGGUAUAACUUGA